CGGAGGUGCGAGAAGGGCGUUUUGCGACCUGACGCUGGCCACCCGUGGGCAGCUGCCGGGCGGGGCUCGGUGCCCGCGGGGCCCCUGUUCUGCGACCUCCCCAGCCAGGACCUCGGGAUGGCAGAGCCGGGGCAGAUCGUCAUCUUUCAAGUCACAACAGAAAGAGAGACCCAGCAAGGGCGAACGGUAGAGACACUUCAUAUGCGGGAACCCUGAUCCUUCCAGCUUUCCGAUUUCCACUGGAGGCUGAUGCAGCUGGAUCCAAGUAGGACAUAGGACGCUUAUGUGGCCACCAUCAAAGUCAAGAAACAGACCAUGGCCAGCAUCUCAACAGCUGCACACCUGCCUUCCCCAUUAUAACCCCGACUCCCACAGGGCCACCUUGGUUUCUACAGCACUUGCUUCCAUUUGUGGUUUACUUACCUCGGUGCUCAUUCCUAAGAGAGUAUGGUUUUACAUUGCCUAUUUUCCAACUUUCUGUAAGUGGAAUUAUACUAUUUGAAGUGUUAUCUAUGUCAUUGCACACAGUAAUGUCCGUUCAUUUUACUUGCUGUGUAAUAUUCUAUCAUUUGCUGCUGAUCACCCCAAAUUCUACUGUGGAUGGACACGUGGGUUGUUUUCAGUUUGGGACUCUUAUUGACAAUGCUGCUCUGACCAUUUUUGGCCAACUGACCUGCGUGGCAGUCCCCGGGAUCUGAACCUAGGAGUUGCUGGCCAGUAGGGUAUGCAGAUCUUUAUACAAGAUAAAGACAAACUGAUUCCAGAGGGGUGGUAACUAUUCACAUUCUCAUAGUAAUUCCAGUCUUCACCAAUGGUUCAUUUUGUCAGAUGUUUUAAUUUUGUCAGGCACGUGGGUGUGCAUUUUCCUCUAGCUAAUGAGGCUUGCACCACGUCUUAUUUCUUUUUUGAAACAUACGAUGCAUUAUGAUUUGCUAUAGUCACUGUGCAGUGCAAAUGGGUCACUAAAGCCUGUGCCUCCCUCUCACUGAAAUUCUGUACCCUUCAAGCAACCUCUCCCCUUCCUCGGCCACCCCAGUUCCCCAGCCUCCACCAACCCCCAUUUUACUCUCUACUCCUAUGAACUGGAUAUUUGUAGAUCCACAUUUAAGUGAGAUCAUGCUGUAUGUGCCUGGCUCAUUUCAUUUAGCAUUAUGUUCUCGAGGUUCAUCCAUGUUGUCACAAAUGACAGAAUUUGGUGACCGAGCGAGGCAGGGAGGGAGGGAAAGACCAGCCUUUGACCCUGCUGGACAACUGUGGCAGUCACUGCUCACUCCAGACUUCUCAUGGCGGUGGCUGGAGUUGUUCACCUGCAUCACCGUUCAACUCUCUCUCUACCAGCCCUGACCCACUUCCUUCCACAGGUGACAGUCCCCAACAAACAUCUGACAUCCCAAACUUAGUCUUUGCAUCUGCUUCUGGAGAACCCGACCUUAUGCAACAUUUACUGUUUCUUUCCUUAUGUAAUCUGCUUUCUUCUUUUUAAAAUUCUAUUUUGUCUCUCCCCCUCCCCCUUUUUAUGGCUAUUUGGAAUGGUUUGUAUUUUUGUUCUAUGGUUAUAUUUAUACUCAUAUGGUUUAUAAUGUUCUUAGUCCUCUCUUCUGUUGCUUUUUGGUUUGAUGACCUUAAAUUACAUCUUUUUAACUCCUACCUGUUAUCAAUAAACUUACUCUACAUUGCA